CCUUCUCUCCCCAGUCAGAAGUUGACACCGAGUACUCGGACCCCUUUGAUGCCCAGCCUCAUCCGCCACCCCCAGAUGAUGGCUACAUGGAACCCUAUGAUGCCCAGCGGGUCGUGAGUGAACUGCCUUGUAGGGCAGUGCAGCUGUAUGACACUCCCUAUGAGGAGCAGGAUGGGGAGCCAGGAGACAGGCCUUUUUCAGGGCAAAGGCCUGGACAGAGCCGGCAGCCCCAGGAAGAUGAAAGGCCAGCGGAUGAGUAUGAUCAGCCCUGGGAGUGGAAGAAAGACCACAUCUCCAAGGCAUUUGCAG